CUGAAAGAGGGACCGACGUAAAUCACUCCCCUUAA
rnacentral:sRNA from 1 species